GCCCGGGUGGCGAAAUUGGUAGACGCAAGGGACUUAAAAUCCCUCGGUGGAGACACUGUAUCGGUUCGAUUCCGAUCCCGGGCACCA
rnacentral:tRNA from 2 species